rnacentral:lncRNA from 1 species
AUGGCUGCUCCUCGCGUGGGGCUCGGGGCCCCCAGACGCCGCCCAGAGCAGCCGGCGGCCUCGCCCUCCCUCCCCCCAGCUGCUGCGGCCGCGACGGGCACCGAGCGCCGUGCACGAGGGGCAGGCUCCGGGCGGGGCGGCCGCGGGGCGCGCGGGGGCCGAGCCCCGCAGGCCCAGGUGAGGCAGCCGAGUCGGGGGUGCGGAACGGGGGGCGAGCCUGACCGCCCUCACAGCGCCCCGCCCCCUCUGACCCCGACCUUCCUCCCCGCGCCGCAGGCCGAGCGCCGGCUGCACCCGAGCACCCGAGCGAGGCCGGCGGGGAGCGGCCGCGCAGCCGCCAGGAGGGGGCGCCCAGCUGCCCUGAGCCGGGGCCGGGAGGCGCUGGGAGGCGCUGGGAGGCGCUGGGAGGCGCUGGGAGGCGCUGGGAGGCGCUGGGAGGCGGGCUCUGCCCAGAGGCUGUGCGGGCCGGAAGGGCGCCCCCUCCUGCCACAGAGCGACGGACGCUUCUCCGAGUGCCCGCGUAGACGGCCUGAGACCCGCGGGCUGUGGCCUUUCCCGUACAGGCCGGGCGGGCGCCCCCUGACGUGCCGGAAAUCGAAAAAGAUGGUGAAGGGUCGGGCCAAUAAAUUAGCCUCAGGGAUGGAGAUGCAGACAGACGGAUGGGGUUGUAUGGAUACAGAUACACAAGGAAAACCAAAGCUAUUCAGUCUCCUCAUUUGUCCAGCAGCCUCACAGUGGUGCCCUUUCUCUGCUGCUGCUUUCCCUGCUUCGGGAGCAGCAGUUAUGGUAGAAGCAGAUGGCUACUGAUUGGGGGAGCUUUGUGGCUCUAAUACUGAAUACUUUAUGGAAAAGGACUUUAUCAUGCUUCGCUGGGCAGAGGAACAAGGGGGUGAGAUUUAUGGCCAGGAAAAAUAAAUCUUUUCCAAGUUGUGGCUCCUUCUCACCAGUUGUCUCUUUUGCUGGUGGUGGGGGGGGGGGGGUGGCGGGGAGGUGGAACUACUGAAGAAUUGGUUUUAUUUUAUUCUCUUUUCUACUAAUAGCACUUUUUUAGUCAGAGUCUGAGGGGAGAGCAGACUAAGAGCUAGAAGUUUAUGGCAUAACUUGGGUGACCAUUGCUGCAUGAGCAUUCUCUGCUCCGUUAGUGUGUGUGUGUGGGGGGGGAGUAAAAUAGAAGGGUAUAGUCUUGAACGUUGUCUGGGGCCAGUUUUCCCGGAUGUCCUGUUAGUUCCUGGGUAAAACAUCAUCCUCCAUUAUCCUAUUAUCUAUAGAGAACAAAAAGGAAUGUAAGUGCUCCCAUCCGAAAAAUCAGAGAAGGUCACUGGUAUUGAAGAAGUGGGGCCCUGAUGAGGCAUAUGGUGAUGUAGGUAUGCUCCUCUACUCUGAAAGAGUCUGAGCUGCAAGGAUGAUUAGGGGAUGUCUGUGAAUGUCAGUUUUUGGACUCCUAAUAGAAUUUUCAAGCUUAUAAGAUUAUACAGACUCCCAACACUGCACUGAAGGUUUAAUUCACCCCAAGAUAAUUGACCCUUACAUCUUUUUUCUUCCCUUCACCAGAGUUUUACUUCUCAAGAGUCAGAUAUGCCCUAUAUCUGUUGCAGGAAUGCAUCCCUCCUGCAUAUGCAGAAGUCUGCACCCCCUUGCCCCUUCUAUUCCCAAACCCUGUCCCCUAGAGCAGUGCCACCCCCUCUUCCAUCUCCCCCUUUACAGCUUCCCCUCCUAGGGGCCAUAACUAAAGACACAGAAAUGCUCCCAACAUGCCUACUGGCAGCCAGGCACAGAGACAUGGAAGCCAGUUCCAAUCCUGGUUCUCCCAUUCCACUUCAGACAGACUCCCUGUCUCCUUAAUAUUUGGAAUGACAUUUUCUAGUCAAGAAACUUUUGUUCAGAAUCUUUCAUGCUGUAUGCUCCUUUUUCCUGCCUUUCCUAUUCUUUUUCCUUUACCUUGUCCCUAGAAACUGAAGCGGAAAGGCUAGAAGGAAAGGCAUGCAGCAUCCAGAAGUGUCCUCUAACUUUCUGCCACAAGCUAGUUCUUCCCAAUUCUGCAGGCACUAUCACCCCCACGUAGCCACACACACCUUUGUGCGUUGUUUCUCUUUCAAGAGGAGAAAAAGUGGAGCAGGAAAACCUAGACUUAGAGCUGACAUUUACCUAGGUUUCAAAGUGGCAGACAUUGAGAUACCUUAAAUAAUUAACUGUUUGGGCUCCUAUAGUGUGUUAGACUGAAAGCUCUUCCAGGCUUACUGCAUAUAAUUAUGACCCUUUGAGUCGAACAUUAUUCCCUAGUUCACUGAUCCCUUACUUCACAGGAAACGGAAGCACAGAGAGGCCAGCUAACCCAAGCAAGUAGUCAGGCUGGCAUCUGAACCCAGGGUGGUUCUCACAAUACCCAUAGCCACGGGGUCACUGAGAUAAAUGUUUCCUCUGCCAUCUUACAAACGAGGAAACUGGAGUUCAGAGAGGUCGGGUGAUUUGCUCAAAGACACACAGCUAGCCGACUGCACAUCUGGGCGUUCGAACAUUACGUUCAUCGCAUUACAUCCGGGCGUUCGAACAUUACGUUCAUCACAUUACAUCUGGGCGUUCGAACAUUACGUUCAUCCAUUACAUCAGGGCGUUCGAACAUUACGUUCAUUACAUUACAUCUGGGCGUUCGAACAUUACGUUCGAAUUAGGAUCCCUAAUUCGGGGCUCUCAACCACCGCCUCUCGAAUCCUUCACAAGGAAGAGCAAUAAGGACCGCCUCCCCCGCCCCCCAACUGACGUCUGCUACAGAGCAUCGGUCUGGGCGGGAGAUUCGCCAAGCUGAAGGCCCUAGGCGUGGGCAAACGUAACAGCCUGCUCGGGGCUGCGGAAACCGCGUGGGGGCGCGGAAGGAAGCACCGCCCGUCAGCCCCGGCCUCCCGCGGGGCGCCGUCGGCCGUGCGGCCCACAAUGCUCCGCGCGCAGCCCGCGUGCGGGCGUCGGGGGCGGGGCCGAGGGUAGGCGGCGUGGGAACGUGCGCAGCUCGAAGCCUGGGCGCCGCUUCCCGCCUCGCUCCCGGGACGGGGACUGCGUGUGGAGGCGAAGGCCUGCUGCCGCCUCAGCCCCCGGCCCGCCCGCUGCGAGGCAGAGGAGGGGCGGGGCGCUCGGAGGUCCUGAGCCCCGUCAGGGCGGGCGGCCUGGUUCCGCAGGUUUCCCUGGCCACCGCCUUCACCUCCGUGCCCUGCGUGCGCGGUGGCGCUGCCCUGACUUCCGGGCGUUUCUGACGUGGCGCCGCUGUCAAUUCCAACGGAAGGACUCUGGAAGAUGAGGAAUAGAAGUCUAGUCGGCCUCCCGGCACGAAACUGCUGCCUCUCCUGAAAUGAAGAGGGGAGGAAGGAGUGGGACUGCCGCCUGUGCUUGGAACAUUCCACUCCCUUUGGCAGUAGAAGGGGUCCCUGAACAUCUAAACACGUUGUUCCUGCUUCCUUCGUCGUCCAGUACCUUCUGGUUUCCCUAGAAACUUUGAGAAAUCCUUUAGCCUUCACUGAGUGGCUUCGAAAGCGAGGGCACUCGCUACAAUUCCCAGAUUUUCUAAAAAGGAGAAGCGAAGGCAGUGCCAACGACAACAGCGACCCGAUCCGUAUUUACUAGGUGCCAGGCACUGUGCUCUGCACAGGCUAGAUACCACCUCACGCCGCACGACGACUUUAUGAAGAGAAUUUCCUUUACCACUCCUGCUCCUCGGUUCUGGGAUGAAGGCCUGAAGCACAGGCCGGUUAAACUACCUGCCCGGGCGUCAGUCAGGGGCCAGGAUUCAAACCCAGGGAGUUUAGUUCCCCGGGGUUGAAUCGGGGUGUGAACCUGACUUGUAGGGUCAGUUCUCCAGACAUCUGAGUCAGAAGAAGGUUCCCUCACAAAGGCAUUAAGACCUCUCUGGGAUGCACAAGGCUGAAAUAAAACUAACCCCAGCUCUUGGAAGCAAUCCCUUACCAUCUGCUCAGGAACUGGCUUUCCUAAACGCGUUCACCCUCGUUUUCAGUCCUCACUGCGACCCGGAAGGCAGCUCUUUCCAGCCUUAGUUUGCUGAGGAGAAAAACCAAGCCUGGGAGAGGUGACUGGCAGUCCAGCACGUAAAAGAUGAGAACAUAGGCCCACACCUCUGGGAAGGGGGCGGUGUGGACCUACUGCAAGAGGACCUGUGAAGGGGCUGGGGAGGAGGAGCGUGGUCGUGGUCGUGCUGAUGGUGGUGGUGGUGGUGGUAAAAAAUCAAUCAAGCAAUCAGUCAAAGCAUCGCUGCUCCCUGAAGCCCAGCCCUCAGGACGCCUUUCGGUCCAGAAAGUGCCGCUCAGCACUCAGCAGGAGACAGAAGUUGGUAAUAAUUCUGGGAGGGGGCAGGAGGCUGCAGAACGCGGAAAACGUGGCACUUCCUCUCUGCUUAGUCCGAGGAGUAUGGGGAGCACACCUCGUGGCCUCUUCUCGCCGCCCCCCCCCCCCCAGGUUUAAGGUUUGCUUUGGCUGCUUCUAAGAGAGGCACCCUCUCUGAAGUUGGCUAGUCUUGUUCUGCCCAGGUCCUGUCUAGUGUUGGGUCUCUACACUUUGGUGACUCAUCCCAAACGUAGUGGGAGCUGUAUCUGCCCCUGGUGAUACUGUGAUACCCAGAGGAAACCUCCUUAGUCUCUCCCAGGGAGACCUCAUUAGCCCACAUACCCACAUUGAAGCCCAUCACU